UACAGAGGUCUCAAGCGUUGUUCGGAUUCAUUGGGCGUAAAGGGUGCGUAGGUGGCGCGGUAAGUCGGGUGUGAAAUUUCGGAGCUUAACUCCGAAACUGCAUUCGAUACUGCCGUGCUUGAGGACUGGAGAGGAGACUGGAAUUUACGGUGUAGCAGUGAAAUGCGUAGAGAUCGAUAAGGAAGACCAGUGGCGAAGGCGGGUCUCUGGACAGUUCCUGACGCUGAGGCACGAAGGCCAGGGGAGCAAACGGG
rnacentral:rRNA from 1 species